CUCUCAUCAGUGCCUCUCCCAGGCAGGGGGCCAGAGACAAAUACUCGAUGCCGACUCAUCUUCCUGGCGAGAUCACAAGUCCUCGCUAUGUUUUUCUUUGUGAUCUCUGAUUGUCUCAUCCUAACAUCAUUGGAGCCGACGUGUAUCACUAUGUCCGAGUAGCUCGUGUUGUUGGAACUACGCUGUUGACGAGACCUAUUGCGAGUCAGCUCCCUAAGAUUAGCUUCUAUGUCGGGUGCUCUGCCCCCAGGAAUACACAUUACCGUGGCUGGAUUUUUAAGCGUAAUAUUUCGGGUAAUGGCGUCACCUAUGACCAAAGUACAAGGGCCAGUAGACCGAGAUGACUUUGGACGGCUAUGCAUCUUACCUGGCUCAUCGCGAUUAGCAAGCCGCUUGGGGCUAAUGCUAACUGGGCUAGCGGGCUGACUACAGUCCGCGUCUCUGUCCGCCACAUCUACUGUUAUCGCGCAAUUCUGCUCUAACUGGCGGACACGUCCCUCUAGCAGGGACAACCUCUCUAAGAGAAGGGUGCAGUUGGUGCACAAAGCCGUACAAACCUCUUGAUCCGCAGCCAUACUUUGUGUCCGAUGAUCGACGGUAGACAAACGGCCACGAAGCCUCCACUCUCUCAGGCACUCCGGCUGUGUAAAGUGUGUUUCAGACUGGAC